CACAUUCUGCAUCGCUACCACCUUAUACGAGAGAUCGUGGAACGAGGUGACGUCAAUCUUCAAAAGAUCGAUGGAAAGGAGAACCUAGCUGACCCAUUCACUAAAGCCCUUUCUGUAAAGGAGUUCGAUUAUCAUAAAUCGAAGAUGGAUAUAAGAUACUGUACAAAUUGGCUUUAGUCCAAGUGGGAGUUGUUGGGAAUUGUGUCCCAAAGCCAAUUUUUUAGUUGUAAGAAAUUGAAUUAUGUAUAUGUUUUGUUAAAAUGAAUAAAAUUUUACUCUGGCAAUUUUCUAUUCAUCACAAGUGUUGCAUCUUCAAAUUGAACUCCUGUGUAUUGUGAUGAAGUCCUUAGGACUAAUUUAGUGGAUAAAAGAGGUUUUAUCAUUUAGUCCUUAAACCAGUUCGCGACCAAAUGAUGAGCUAUCAAUUGGACGAUAGCUAUGUCAAGUAUAGGUCGUUGUGUGCCAUUUAGUUGGUUGUCCUUUUAAAUCAAGGAGUGUGGAGACACUGUAUGGCAUACAGGUGAGAUGUAGGAGUACAUCG
rnacentral:lncRNA from 1 species